UACGGGGGGGGCAAGCGUUGUUCGGAAUUACUGGGCGUAAAGGGCUCGUAGGCGGCCAACUAAGUCAGACGUGAAAUCCCUCGGCUUAACCGGGGAACUGCGUCUGAUACUGGAUGGCUUGAGUUUGGGAGAGGGAUGCGGAAUUCCAGGUGUAGCGGUGAAAUGCGUAGAUAUCUGGAGGAACACCGGUGGCGAAGGCGGCAUCCUGGACCAACACUGACGCUGAGGCACGAAAGCUAGGGGAGCAAACAGG
rnacentral:rRNA from 1 species